UGUCAUUAACUAAGUUGUUUCUUUCCACAGGUGUGAUGCAAGAAGAAAUGAAAUUAUGGAGGCAUAAACUGUCUUCGGGAGGACUGUCACCAGGACACAGCUUCAUUGAGCAGAGUGACUGCAUGGGAAAGCCCCUUAUUCACAAAGUAGCAGGCUGCUUUGUAUCACAAACAUCCUCAGUUUCCACAGAAUAAUUGGGAUGGAAGUAGAACACAAGAAUAUGCAGUAUGUCAGUUUUUAGAACACACUUUUGAAGCCAUGCUUUCCCCUAGAAAAAGAAAAUUUGAAAUUGUAAC